CCUACGGGUGGCAGCAGUAGGGAAUGUUCGUCAAUGGGCGCAAGCCUGAACGAGCAAUGCCGCGUGAACGAGGAAGGUCUUCGGAUCGUAAAGUUCUGUUGAAGGGGAAAAAGAGCGGAGAGAGGAAAUGGUCUCCGAUUGAUAUUACCCUUCGAGGAAGUCACGGCUAACUACGUGCCAGCAGCCGCGGUCAUACGUGGGGGGCGAGCGUUAACGGGAAUGAUUGGGCGAAAGGGGUGCGUAGGGGGCCCGCUAAGUCUGGCGUGAAAGGUACCGGCUCAACCGGUACAGGCUCUGGAAACGGGCGGGCUAGAGGGCAGGAGAGGGCGGUGGAACGCCAUGUGUAGCGGUAAAAUGCGUAGAUAUAUGGAAGAACACCAGUGGCGAAGGCGGCCGCCUGGCCUGUUACUGACGCUGAGGCACGAAAGCGUGGGGAGCAAAUAGGAUUAGAUACCCCAGUAGUC
rnacentral:rRNA from 1 species